GACGAACGCUGGCGGCGUGCUUAACACAUGCAAGUCGAACGGAAAGGCCCUGCUUUUGUGGGGUGCUCGAGUGGCGAACGGGUGAGUAACACGUGAGUAACCUGCCCUUGACUUUGGGAUAACUUCAGGAAACUGGGGCUAAUACCGGAUAGGAGCUCCUGCUGCAUGGUGGGGGUUGGAAAGUUUCGGCGGUUGGGGAUGGACUCGCGGCUUAUCAGCUUGUUGGUGGGGUAGUGGCUUACCAAGGCUUUGACGGGUAGGCGGCCUGGGAGGGUGACCGGCCGCAUUGGGACUGAGGGACGGCGCAGAGUCGUACGGGGGGCAGCGGUGGGGAGUAUUGCACAGUGGGCGGGAGCGUAGUACAGCAACGCCGCGUGCGGGAUGACGGCCUUCGGGUUGUAAACCGCUUUCGCCUGUGACGAAGCGUGAGUGACGGUAAUGGGUAAAGAAGCACCGGCUAACUACGUG
rnacentral:rRNA from 1 species